rnacentral:rRNA from 1 species
GACGAACGCUGGCGGCAUGCCUAAUACAUGCAAGUCGAGCGAACAGAUGAAGUGCUUGCACUUCUGACGUUAGCGGCGAACGGGUGAGUAACACGUAAGGAAUCUACCUAUAAGCGGGGGAUAACAUUCGGAAACGGGUGCUAAUACCGCAUAAUAUCUUCUUCCGCAUGGAAGACGAUUGAAAGACGGCUCUGCUGUCACUUAUAGAUGACCUUGCGGUGCAUUAGUUAGUUGGUGGGGUAAUGGCCUACCAAGACGAUGAUGCAUAGCCGACCUGAGAGGGUGAUCGGCCACAUUGGGACUGAGACACGGCCCAAACUCCUACGGGAGGCAGCAGUAGGGAAUCUUCCGAAAUGGGCGAAAGCCUGACGGAGCAAUGCCGCGUGAGUGAAGAAGGCCUUCGGGUCGUGAAACUCUGUUAUAAGAGAAGAACAAAUUGUAGAGUAACUGCUACAGUCUUGACGGUAUCUUAUCAGAAAGCCACGGCUAACUACGUGCCAGCCGCCGCCGUAA